UGAGAAUGCUGAAUUCCUGGGGUGAAUUGGCUGCUACAGGGAGCAGCAGAAAAAAAAAAUUAGAGCAAGCUCAUAAAAAGUCCAAGAUUUUGAACAUCCCGGAAAACAGGACAGUGAAGAGGACUUCCCUGAUAACAAUGAGACAAGGCGGCGGAAGGAGGCCAUGAUUCAUCCCUGAGCUCUCCUGAGAGCAGAAUUCCUCAGCUCCCUUUGAAGGCUUUCGGUCCUGAGUCAGUUUGGAACUGUAAGGCAGGAAAAUGUGGCUUAUUUAUGUAAAGAUCAUGUCAUUUGGAUCCGUGUCACUUGCUGCAGGACCCGAGAUGUUAAAAUGACUGCAUGUUAAUUUUCUUGCUUGUCAGCACAGCACCACCAUGUAACUAUUAUGUUAUUACUAAGUCCACUCAAUGUCUAGAGAAGAGAAAACUAAAGAUUUCAAAUGCCUGAAACCCCAGUCUUUACAAUAAAACAGAAAAUAGCCCAAUAAAAAAAUAAAUAAAUAAAGAUGUGUGCCACCACA